UUAAUUAAUAUUAAUCAGUUAAUCGAGUUUAAACUCAACUUUGCUGAUUGAACUGUAAAAGUUCCUUUGAUUCAACUAAUAAAAUGUCAGCAGAAAGAUUUUUUUUACAAUGUAGAAACAACAACUACACUCUAAAAAAUGCUGUGUUUCACACAAUUACUUCAUGUUAAAACACAAAUAGUUUAAGUUUACUUCAUUGUUUUUGCAAAAUUAAGUUGAUUGAACCUACAACAAUGAAGCUGUCCUGAAAAAACUCAAGAAUUGUGUUGAUUCAGCUCAUUAUUAAUAAACCGUUUGAACAAGUAGCUAUUUUUCAAGUGUAUAAAGCAAAUAAAUCAUCCAAAAAUAAAUUACCCUAGAGAGUUCGACAGACAUUUACAACAAAAAAGAAAAAAUGAGCUAUACAGUUCACUCAAACACCUUAAAAAAAAAAAAAAAAAAAAAGUAAAACACUAGAGUGUCCACUUCUACGGCCAAGGAUUUGCAGACAGCCCGGGCUGUAACAUGAUAAGCACGUCUCUCUCGCAGACAUGGCUUUAACAGUUCUGUAAUGGCUGUCUUUUCCCCUACUGCAUGCUGCACCCUGCUCUGCUCCACUGCCAAGGGGACGUUUCUUAUAUAUGUAUUUCCAUGUUUUUCUUCAAAAACAAAUAAAAUGCAUUAUGCUGGGAGGAAACACGGCAAAGUCAUCUUUAAGGUAUGCACAUGACUGCCAAAAGAGUCCAAAAGUGACUUUUCCAGCAAUUGGAUGAACGAAAAAAAGGGUGUAUAGUGUGGCAGAGAACAGCUGAAACAGUGUUUAGCCACACGCAGAAAAGGCCCUCCCAUGAGCGAGUCACGGUGAUGUCAUAAAGAGGUGCCACAAGUGAACAAUAACAGCGCAGUACAGUAAAAUAAGUAGAAUGAAUGACGUGUGACAAAUGUGAGCAAGGUUGAGUUGGAGCCGCCUCACCUUUGGGAAGCACAGGGCGAUUGGCGCAGGCUCAGGUGGGAAACGGUGCCAGCUCUGCGUGCGUUUCCAUAAGCCACCCAUCAACCUUUCCUCUCGCUCAAGAUUGGGGUUAACUAAGCAGACCCUCUGGUCAAAGGCUGCCAUACAAGCUCCCGUCGAGGACGAAUGUGUGUGUGCAGUCUUGCACACAAAUAAAUCUGCAGCAUUAUCAAACACAAGGUAAAAGUGGUUGAAUUAGGAUUAUUCCAUCAGUGCUAAAGCAAGGAUAUGCUCACCUGUUUCUGAACAGUACUUCAGUGACACUUAUAGUGAGAACUUCAUAUCAAACACAAAGCUAAAUCUCUACAUUUAUGUGUGAGGAGUUAUACAUCUAUAUAACAGCCCAUGCUCUAUUUAGUCUACUCGCCAGAUCUCAUAUUUUGUUUUAGCUUGAAGCUAAAUGUCAGCCAUUUUGCCUGUAAAAGCAGCAGUUUUGAGUGCUGACAGGCUGUGUCUUCUAGCAAGACAUCACACACAGCUUCCAUUGUUGCUUUACAGUGUUGUGGCUUGAUUUUAUUACUUCUGUCAAAAUACAAUAUAGGCUACACAAGAGAUUUUUUUUGGUUUGUUAUCCAUUGCUAUUUUAUUUCUAUGUGCAACUUUUUUCCCCUUAAAGUCACAAUGUAAACAACAUUGGAACAUUGGGGGGGAAGAAAAGAAAACCCUCAUUUUAGGGGAAGGGAGGGGGGAAAUGAGUGUGACCCUAACAUGAAAUACAAAAUCUAUGUUACUAAAAUGUCAAAAUUAAAUACAUUUAUUAUAAACAUAUGCAUUAGCAAUCUAAAAUAAAUCCAAUGCAUGUAUUAUAUUGCAUUAAAAUAUUCUAAACGCCUCAUUGUAUGUUCGCACUACUAAUUAUGAGUGAUCUAAAUGUUCUCAGUGACGUCAUUUUACUGUAUGCAUAUUGUCGGUCUACUUUUUUUCUUGGAACAUAGCCGAGCUUCAUUUGAGGUUAUUGGCUGGAAACGUAACUCAAACUGCUGAUUGUUUUUUAAAAAUGGGUUACAGUAAUAUUAUAAAUACAGUUUAGAAUUAAAGCGUAUAUAAAAUAUGAAAUAUGCAAUAGCAAAAGGGUUAGUAAUCGUUAAAACGCAUUAUACAAAGAGAGAUUGUUUCAUGCGAAAUACGGUGACAAACUGAUUCCUCUGUGAAAUUGCGCUUAAGAUUCUCGUGUGAUAAUUAUACAAAGGGUAAAGCUUGAACAAAGUGUCCAUGUAAGUGUACUAAUUUACCUCAUAAUACUCGUUUUCAAUCAAAAGGCUUUAAAAGCUCCUCGAAACAAAAAUGAAUGAAGGGCCUAACAUUACAAAUCAAGCUCUUGUAAGUACCUGCGUUUAUGGGCUCUUGAUUCGUGCACUAUUAGCAGAUGAUCCAGCCGCCAGAUGGGGGUUUGAACCUCAUAUGGAUCCCAUAUUAACCUAUUUUAAUAUCGCGUAAUUUAAUGUAAUUGUGGCUUUAAUAUUUGGCACCAUUGAAGUGUGAAAAAUAAAUAAAACCAUGGCCGUCGAUGUCUCAUUAAAAAAUGUAUCACAUUUAAGAAGCUUCUCGGCUAUGCCUGCAAUUCCUUUUCAUAAUUACGAGACGGCAAACUGUUGAGCAAUAGUAAUAAUAAUCAUUUAAAUUAUUUAUAAUAUUAAAUAUAUGAUAUUUAAUAACAAUUAAUACAUUUAAAAAAUCAUAAAUCGUUCUGUAUAUUAGUAAUAUUUUUAAUAACUAUUAUUUAAUAAUAAUAUUGUUAUUACUGUAAGCCCCCUUAAACAUAUAACUUAAAAUUAAUGCAGAUAAAUAGGAAUAUCAUAAUACAUGUGUGAGGAACUGAACUGGAACACGGGAACCCGCUGACUCUAUAACUAAAUGAUAACGCGGAUGGAAAGUAGCCAUAAGUAAAUAUGUCGAAUAUGAAUCUGGAAGAGCAGAACACUGAUUAAAAAAAGAGAAAGUGAGUAAUGUAUAAGCUAUGUGAAUACACUUUAAUGAGCGCUUGUGUUUUUGAGGGUUGAAAUCAGGGCCCUCAACAUUCUCCAACACAAAAAUGAAACCAUUAUAUUUGCAAUUAAUAUAGCCCAACUUUGAAUGUAAAUUAAAUAAAGUCUUAUAUAUAUUGUUUGAACACUUAGGAGAGCUGUCGUGCAAUUGACCUCCAACCCAAAACCGAAUUAAUCUUGACCAACAGCAUAACAAGAAAAAAAGGACAGUCUGACCUUUUCUCGGAAGUAAUCGCAAUACACGUUUCAUGUGCAACAGACAUUUUAAAGUUAAAAUAUCGAGGCCCAGGUUUAUGUCCCGAAACAAACUGAGGAUGCACGGUAAUUUGAAUCAACAGGUCACCAGGCCUAACUACAUUUGUUCAAAACACUUAAAAUGUCUUAAUAUUUUAGUAAACAUCUUAAAUAAUUUCGCUGAAACAUUUGCGGUGAGCAUCAAACCGCGCAUUUUUGCUGUAACUCCACAUAUGACUUGCUCGGCUUUUCUUUAGUUAAGAAAAACAUUUGGGUAAAUUAAACAGAUUAAACAAAUGUUGUGUCAUCACAUAGCUCGCUAUUUAAUUCGUUAGAAUUCUCAAAGAGCGUUUUAAAUGUUUAAUUAUUAUGUAGCGAUUUGGCACAUGUAAUAAAGCCUUUUAGAAUUAAUUGCAUAAGUAAUAACUAUGUUCAGAUUGCACUGAAAGCUAUAAUCGCAUGCAAAACUUCUCACAAUUCCUCGGACACUCGGUAAGAAAACAGUUAGCUCCUAGACCAUACCUAAUGCUAACAAGUCGGAAUACAAGCGAAAGCCAAACAAAUAAACAAACAAACAAGCAAAGACAUCACGCUAAAUCCAGAGGAGAUUUACACACUUUUCCUCGCCUCAGAAAGAGUCCACAAAAUAGCUGAGUCUGUUUUCUUCGGUAUGACACAUCUAUGCAUUAUUGAUUCGCCAUUUGCAGAUGAAGCACACCGAACUGCGACAGAGCUCACAACACAAAUAUUCCUCCUAAUUUAAAAUAAACGUGAAAUUUGUCCGUAUUUGUUUAAUAUUCCUUCUUCUACAUGGCAUCCAGUGGGCAGGCUGAAAGCUCAGGAGAUCUCCACGCUCGCUCUGUGCGUCCUGGGGUCCAUGAGCAGUGCUAGAGCGCCCACUAUUUCAACAAGCAGGAAUAUGAUUUCACAAGACCUGGAACCACUCAAUAAAAAAGUUACUAUCCCUUUCGACAACUCUUCGCUAACUUUCGUGUAACAAUUCUCUACGGUUUCUCGACUUCGCUAAAACAAGAGAGCGAAACAACGCGGCGUGGAAACGCUCUCCUGACCAUUUCAGCCAAAGCACCAUCACACAAACGAGAAACUUCUGAACAAGCACACUACGGCAGCAUCUGGUCUAAAGGGUGGACGCGCGGAUCACGGAGAGUUUGAGCGAUUUCAAUGCAACUGAGAGCUGGAAAACAAACGCACCGGACAAAGACGCGCUCUCAGCAGGAACUGAUCAAUGAAAAUGACACUUUGGUGAUGUGCGCAAGGGUUCAAAGUACCGUGCGGCCGCUCGGGAGCGAAAGAAGCGCAAUAAGGACCUACUUUUGGCCAGUUUUCUCGCCCUCGCCUUGGAUCUCAUCUUGUCGGCUUGUAGAUUCCUCGCGUCCUCCUUGAGCUCAGAAGCAGCAGCAGCGCUAUCUUCAUCUCACGAGCAUUAUCACUUAUCUCUUUCCCUCCUCCUCCACUCGCUCCGCAACAUCUCGGAUCGCCCCCCACCUCCCCUUCUUGAGCCCUCCAAGAGGAAUAAGUGCUAUUUUUCAGGGACCUGCGGAAUCCGGUACCACACUGGACAUUGAAUCCUGGACGGGGUCAAGGUCGCAGCCCUCACGCGCAAGGUAAUCACGAGCAUUUCAUGCACCCAAUCAAUACGCAACUAUUUAAAGCAUAAAAACUUUGUUAUAAUAUGUGUAAUUACGUUAAAAAAUGCAUAAAAUGUAAUUUACUGUUAUUAUUAUUGUUAUUAGUAUUAUUAUUAUUGAUGUUUUAUUUGAAAAAGAAUAUAUACGAAUGUCAUCUGCGCAUAACUCUAAUAUUGUAUUUUAUUGUAACAAUCUUACCCUGACAUUGAUGUAAGAGUAUUGUCGAGUGCCUUAUAUUUAUAUAUCUGAAAACUAUUAACAUUAUUAAUUUAGGUGCGCUCCAUAAAUAGGUAAAAGGUGUGUUCAGUUUCAAUGUUGCUAUUGCCACCCGAGUCAGCGCGCGCUAGACUCAGACAGCCAGCAGCUCCCGCGUGCGUGCUUCUGUGUGUGUGUGUGUGUGUGUGUGUGCGUGCGUGUGUGUAUAUGUGUAUGUGUGUGCGUGUGUGUGUGUGAGGAGAAAGAGCAGAAAUACAGUAUGAGUGCAUGCGUGGGAUCCGGGCGGAAAAGGUAUGCAUUUUAACUCUCUUUUGAAACAAUGCACUUUCAGUCUUAGGUCUAGAUUAGGUUAUGUACCACGCUAUACGUCGUUGAGGCUGUUUAUGUGCAGGUAAACCCGGCAGAGUUUGACAAGGCAACCGAUAUUCAUUUGUGUAAGUAUACGUGAUUCUGUUAAAUUAUUUUUUUGCACGUAAAACAAAGUAUAGACUACUGUAAGCAUUAGAACUGCAAUCAUGUUUGCAUGUGCUCAAUCAGUGUAUUUUACCGGUCAUCUUAAAGGCUGUAUAUGCGUGCUGUCAGAACCAUGCUUCGGUAGUCCAAUAGCAGGAUCAACAUCUGAAGUUAUUUUCUGCAGUUGGCACGUAAAAUCGGAUAUGUUGGACUUAUUAAACGAUACAUGUCAGAAUUUCGCCGACAGUUACUAUCGGGAAUAAUAUGGUUUUAGCAUUUUGCGCUAACUUGGACAUUAAAAUUGCAUUUGAAUUAUUUUAAUUUUUUAAAUAUAAUAAAACCUGAUUUUUGGCGCUUUUGACACAUUCUGUAAUUAUACAUUAGGGCAUUAUUAUUAUUAUUAUCAUUAUUAUUAUUAUUAUUGCUAUUAUUAUUAUUAUUAUUAAUAAUAAUAAUAAUAUUGUUGGUUUUGUUUUAUUGUUUUGUUUUUGGGAAGUCACAUUAAACUGUAUUAUUUCUCUUUGUCAUUAGAAGACCAUUAUUCUACAAUAAACAGAUCUCAUUUUGUCAUCAGAUCCCGUGGGAGAAUAUGGGAUCGAGCAGGUGUCUUUCAAGGCAUUUAAAGCAGCUAUUAACAGUAAUGCAUGUGCACUCACUUUGAGGGUCGCUGUCAGUCUUUUCCGUUGGUAAUAAUGUGUGAGCUUAUCACUAUAUUGAAGAUGAUAUUGAAGUCUGAGCCGCUGACAAAUUAAAACCAAUGCAUAUUAUUGUUUAUAAAUACUGUAAAAUUUGUUUAAAGCAAUGAUUAUUAUUAUUUUUAAUUAUUUGUUUCAGACAUGAUAGAUAAUGAUGUAUAUAUACAUAAUAAUGUAAUAGGCCGUAAAAGGCGCGUAACCCAACACCACAUUUUUAAUUCAUGCGUAUUUUUCUUCUCUGAGAACUAAACAGUGGAUUGCUGGCAUUUUGUGCAAACAAACUCCACAACCUAUUUCAUUUAUAAAUGAAGUCACAAUUUCGCAUUUCAUUUUGGCGAAUUAAAAAAGGCUAAACUGAUUAUGAAUGAAAUAAUUUUAAACAUUUUCAUAUAAAAUCCUGCCGUUUAUUUUUCUUAAAGAAGUAAUCUUAAGCUCCCCAUUCUUAAAUGACAUUUACUGGUUUAUUGAUUGACUCCGUAUUAAACGUUUUGUCAAGACAUAUCCGCUUGACACGAAACAUAUUGUUGAUAAAAUUCAUGUGAAUGAAAUUAUUUUACGUCUUCGGGAAACAAUAAGACAGAUGAUAGCCCAUUAUAUUCCCCAUUAUGCAUAAAUUAUAAUUUAUGGAGGUUAAAACUAUGACAAUAUUAUUAUUGUUAUCAUUCAGACAAUUUUGCAUAAAGCUAAUUCAGCUGCUGAUUUAUCUUAUAGCGCGCAGAUUGUUUCAACUCCACAAUAAAACAACAUGCUGGUUUUUGUCCUUUCACUACACAUUAAUUCAAAUGAAAAUCUCUCACGCAUCGGGCUUGACAAUUUCUUUUCUUCAUAAGGACCAACACCUUUGUAAAGGCGUUUAACUGUAAUUACAGUUGUAAAGAAAAGUGUUGCUCCUCAUCACAAGCUCAUUGGGGAAUAGUUUUCUGCGUCAUUUAAGCGUCUGCCUUUUUACGAGCUCCUGGAAACGUGACGGCCAUGUAACCACGCAUUUGGACUAUUUUCUUUCCAGAUUGUUGCCAUUUUCCUGUGGUUUAGCGCAGGAAGGGAGGGAUGCUGGCCCAAACCCCGGAAGAGAGGUGUUCUGUAAACCAGGCCUCAGAACAUCCACCUUGAGAACUGAUGUCAGCAACAUAUAUUGUAUUUAUUUAUUUUAUCAAUAAUUUAAUAAAGAGGUUUGUCAGUUGGGUAUAUCAAUCACUAGACUAAACAAAUCCCUGUUAUUUUAUUUGUUUGAAUAUGUCUACAGUUGUAAGUAGGGUUUUAUUAAGUGAAAUAAAAUACAUACAGGCAC